UGGAAAGCUAUGUGACACUUGCUUUGCUAA
rnacentral:piRNA from 1 species